UUGCAUUUGAUUAUAUGGCUGAUCCUACAGUAGAAAUUGCUACAUUUGCUGAAUUCAACAUGGAUGGGCUUGUAAGCGAGUACCCAGCAACUGUAAACAGAUAUUUCAGUAAGUAUUACAAAUGCAAGCUCUUUCUUAUUGAUCAGAGUUUUUUUUUUUCUUUGUAGGAAUCAGAGUUUUAAUCUAUCCAACAGAUAACAAUGGUUUUUGCUUUGGUCUUGCAGCUAAUGUAUGUUCAGAUCUCGACACUACUCCCUACGUAAUAGCGAUUCAACCACCAUAUCUAAUUCAGCUCCUUGGUAACAUACCAGGACCAGCAAGUGCUCCUAAUCCGCCUCUGAAACCUGCAGAUGUUGUUGACCCAGCAUUACCACCAGUAGCCAAAAUCACCGACGCUGAUAGCACCCCUGCUGCUCCAGGCAGUGAUAAAAAAUCUUCAAGUGCUCUACUAAAUGCAGAUGUUUUGGGUUCUUUUCUGGUGGCAAGUUUGGUGUUAGGCUUUCUCUGUAAAGGAUAUUAAAAAGAAGCACGCAUAAAUUGACUUGGAAACUGAUAUUUAACCUUGAUGUUGCUAGCCUUAUUCCAUCCCUUGAGAAAUCUGUAGUAAAUAGUUAUGAGAUUGAUAUAAGAGUGGCAUAUUGAUAUCAGUUUUAAUGGAUGAGUAGAUAAAAAACACAGCAUUCGUGGAUUGGAUAAUAGACAAAUCAGCAAUGAACUAAACAAGUUUCACCAAGCAUAGAUAAGAUGCAGAACAUAUGUGGAUAGCUGAUGAGUCCUUCAAACGUGGAUGGGAUACCUGCAUGUCAAAACAAAGAAAAUUCUGCAAUACUUGUCAAGUUCCUAAAGCUCUCUCACUCCUCUGCAUUAGAUUGUGUAAAGAAAAUAAAAGAUUUAACUGUCCCACUAUAUGCAAUGUUCAUAAUAAAACCAUCGUGUUAAAAUUUCUUCCUUGUGCAUGUCUAGCUUCACAAUUUCUAGAGCUCUCAACCCAUAAAAUAACCAUAAAUAUAAACAACAAUUUAAUCCUUGUUUUAUUAUUUUUUGAGUAUCCAUUUGGUUCUUACAAUUUUGAUAAGAAGAAUUGUAUCCAUUCAAUUUGAUAUGCUGGAAACAGAAGUUUUACCGGUAGAUUGUAAUUUUGUUUGCAAUUGAAUUAAAAUUAUGAUCAUGCCAAAAAUCACCUUUCCAGUAGAAUCUAUUAGCUCUUAUCUUCUGUUCUUUGAAAUCUAAAGUUCAAAAUAAAAAAUAUCUCAAAUUAUUAACCAAAAUAUUUUUACGGACAAGAUUAAACCAAAUAUUUUAUUUUUAUUAAAUUUAGGUUCUUUAAUAAAAUUAAUACGACUCAUUUAAAAAUCAAAUUAAC
rnacentral:lncRNA from 1 species